CCUACGGGAGGCUGCAGUCGAGAAUCAUUCACAAUGGGGGAAACCCUGAUGGUGCGACGCCGCGUGGGGGAAUGAAGGUCUUCGGAUUGUAAACCCCUGUCAUGUGGGAGCAAAUUAAAAAGAUAGUACCACAAGAGGAAGAGACGGCUAACUCUGUGCCAGCAGCCGCGGUAAUACAGAGGUCUCAAGCGUUGUUCGGAAUCACUGGGCGUAAAGCGUGCGUAGGCUGUUUCGUAAGUCGGGUGUGAAAGGCGCGGGCUCAACCCGCGGACGGCACAUGAUACUGCGAGACUAGAGUAAUGGAGGGGGAACCGGAAUUCUCGGGGUAGCAGUGAAAUGCGUAGAUAUCGAGAGGAACACUCGUGGCGAAGGCGGGUUGCUGGACAUUAACUGACGCUGAGGCACGAAGGCCAGGGGAGCGAAAGGGAUUAGAUACCCUGGUAGUC
rnacentral:rRNA from 1 species